rnacentral:misc_RNA from 1 species
GGACUACUACCGGGAUCUCGCCAAGGAGGUCUUGACCCAUGGCGCGACGUAAAAGGGCAAGCAUGAGGGAGGGCCCCCUCGCCGACCUGUUCCGCUCGACGGAGGAGCCCGAGGAUCCGCCCGAGGCGCCGGCGCUGCCGCCGCGGCCCCAGGACACGGAGCGUGAGGACGAGACGCGCAACAUGCCCGCGGUGUCCGAGCCGGCCGCACGCGAGCCCGAGCGACCCGAGAGCCUCGACGACCCUUACGAAGAGGCGGCGCCCGCUCCACCUGCCCGCGAGCCUGAGCGACCGCGAGCCGCCACGCCGAUCUUCGACGUCGAGGAGGAGGACCCGGUCUCCGAGGUUUCCCGGACGCCUGGCGCCAAGGAGCGCCUGUC